UCGCCUGUUUUAACAAAAACAUGUCCUUUUGUUUAUUUAUUUAAGGUCUAACCUGCCCUAUGAUUUAUUAAAUGGCCGCGGUACACUAACCGUGCAAAGGUAGCAUAAUCACUUGUCCCUUAAUUAGGGGCUGGAAUGAAUGGUUGGACGAGAUGUAAACUUUCUUAAUUAUAUAUAUUAGAAUUUUAUUUUUUAGUCAAAAAGCUUAAAUUUUUUUAUAGGACGAGAAGACCCUAUAGAAUUUCAUGUUUAUUAGUUUUUUUUCUUUUGGUUUAUAUUUGUUUUAAUUCUAUAUUCAUUUUGUUGGGGCGACAGGAAAAUUUGUUUAACUUUUUUUAUUUUAUUUCAUUGAUAUAUGUAUUUAUGAUCCAUUUUUAGUGAUUAAAAGAUUAAAUUACCUUAGGGAUAACAGCGUUAUUCUUUUGGAGAGUUCUUAUCGAUAAAGGAGUUUGCGACCUCGAUGUUGGAUUAAAA
rnacentral:rRNA from 1 species